UAAUACGGAGGGUGCAAGCGUUAUCCGGAUUUAUUGGGUUUAAAGGGUCCGUAGGCGGGCUAUUAAGUCAGUGGUGAAAGCCCUCUGCUCAACAGAGGAACUGCCAUUGAUACUGAUAGUCUUGAGUACGAGUGAAGCUGGCGGAAUGUGCAGUGUAGCGGUGAAAUGCUUAGAUAUUGCACAGAACACCAAUUGCGAAGGCAGCUGGCUAAUUCGAAACUGACGCUGAGGGACGAAAGUGUGGGGAUCAAACAGGAUUAGAUACCCUGGUAGUCCACACCGUAAACGAUGAUCACUAGAUUUUGGUUUAAAUAUCAGAGUCCAAGCGAAAGUGUUUAGUGAUCCACCUGGGGAGUACGUCCGCAAGGAUGAAACUCAAAGGAAUUGACGGGGGCCCGCACAAGCGGUGGAGCAUGUGGUUUAAUUCGAUGAUACGCGAGGAACCUUACCUGGGCUUGAAAGUUAGUGACCGUUCCUG
rnacentral:rRNA from 1 species